ACUUACCUGGCUUACCCAGUUUCAAACAUGUUUCUCUGGUUCCUGUGCUUCCUCCUCAGACUUUGUCACUGAUGCUGUCACAGUGCCCGACCCAUCAAAUGGACCUUGAUUCAUGGUCCCUCUGCCUGGACUUAGCUACAGAACACAAAUAAUGUCCUGCCUGUCUUCAAAAACUUCCCUGCAUCCAGAAACUGGAGCACAUUGUGUCCUGGAUCCAAGAGAGGUGGCCUGAUUGGUAACACUUGCUCCUGUACCUAGGCUCAUCUUCAAAAGGAUUUAGAGCAGAUUUCCCUGGAGUGACUAAGCCAGAUUCAAAAAUCUGGGAAAAAAAUUUUAACUGGGAAGACUGCUUUUUCCUUCUGUAUCCAUCUCAACAGACAAAAGUAUGGUCAUGGCUUAUUCAGUACAGGCCAUCAAAGCUAACACCUCACCUUGGGAGAAAUCCAGUAUACAAAUUCUGGUUUAUUUUUCCAAUUCUCAAAAAGAAAAGUCUUUAAAGAAAUAAAUGAUUGUGGGUGGUGGUGUGUUGUUGGUGGGUUUUGGUUGUUGUUUGUUAUUUUUGGGUUUUGUUGUUUGUUUUUGAUUGGUUGUUUUGUUUUGUUUAUUUGGGUUUUUAAAAUAAUACAAAUUAGGAAAUGGACCUCCAGAGGGGCUUCCUAUUCUGCAGGAGAAAGAAAAGGAAGAAACAUGAAAAGAAAAGGAAGCAGCAUGAGCAUGAAUCUCCUGCCUGGGAAAAUGAAUCAGCCAUCUGGCAGUUUGAGUUUAUUCUGAUCUUCUUUCGUGGUGAACCUCUGGCCAUUAAUUCAGACACAGAAUUGAUAUCUGCCCUCUCCCUGCUCAGUUUCCUGUGUCACUGAUCAUGAAGCUCUCUUUGGAUCAAGCAUAACAGUGCCUGUAAAGUCUUUGUUAAAUCCUCUCUAAAUUGGGCUCAAUAUCAGAAAUGGUGGAAUUUGAAGCACCUAAAGAGUAGCUUUUUUGAAAAAGAUUACAUAGUCCUGUGAAA